UUCCGUAGGUGAACCUGCGGAGGGAUCAUUACAGAGACUCUGCCCCUUGGGUAGACCUCCCACCCUGUGUUGUUAUACCUUCGUUGCUUUGGCGGGCCGCGGGGCUCCGGCCCUGCCCCUGGCUCCGGCUAGGGCGCGCCCGCCAGAGGACCCUAAAACCUGAGCGUUAGUGUCGUCUGAGUACUAUCUAAUAGUUAAAACUUUCAACAACGGAUCUCUUGGUUCUGGCAUCGAUGAAGAACGCAGCGAAAUGCGAUAAGUAAUGUGAAUUGCAGAAUUCAGUGAAUCAUCGAAUCUUUGAACGCACAUUGCGCCCCUUGGUAUUCCGGGGGGCAUGCCUGUUCGAGCGUCAUUACAACCCUCAAGCUCUGCUUGGUCUUGGGCGUCACCGGUCCCCGGUGUGCCUUAAACUCAGUGGCGGCGCCAUCUGGCUCUAAGCGUAGUACAUACUCUCGCUACAGACGCCCGGUGGACGCUGGCCAGCAACCCCCAACUUACUAAGGUUGACCUCGGAUCAGGUAGGGAUACCCGCUGAACUUAAGCAUAUCAAUAAGCGGAGGAA
rnacentral:rRNA from 1 species